UAGAAAAUGCAAUCUAUCUAUAGUGACAGCAAGUCAGUGGCUGCCUGAGGAUAUGGGGACAGAGAAUCAAAAGGGGCGCCUGGAUGGCUCAGUCGAUUAAGCAUCCAACUCUUGAUUUCAGCCCAGGUAAUGAUCUCAUGGUUCAUGGGUUCAAGCCCCACAUCGGGCUCUGCACUGGCAGCACACAAACUACUACAGAUCCUCUGUCUCCCUCUCUCUCAAUGCCCCUCCCCCGUUCACUCUCUCUUGCAAAAAUAAACAUUUAAAAAAAUUUU